rnacentral:rRNA from 1 species
AUUGAACGCUGGCGGCAUGCCUUACACAUGCAAGUCGAACGGUAACAGGUUAAGCUGACGAGUGGCGAACGGGUGAGUAAUGUAUCGGAACGUGCCUAGUCGUGGGGGAUAACGUAGCGAAAGCUACGCUAAUACCGCAUACGAUCCAUGGAUGAAAGCAGGGGACCUUCGGGCCUCGCGCGAUUAGAGCGGCCGAUAUCAGAUUAGGUAGUUGGUGGGGUAAAGGCCCACCAAGCCGACGAUCUGUAGCUGGUCUGAGAGGACGACCAGCCACACUGGGACUGAGACACGGCCCAGACUCCUACGGGAGGCAGCAGUGGGGAAUUUUGGACAAUGGGCGCAAGCCUGAUCCAGCAAUGCCGCGUGCAGGAUGAAGGCCUUCGGGUUGUAAACUGCUUUUGUACGGAGCGAAAAGGCUCUCUCUAAUACAGGGGGCUCAUGACGGUACCGUAAGAAUAAGCACCGGCUGACUACGUG